AAGUCUAAUUGUGUCAAGUCUUGCUAUAGGGGUAAAUGUUUCAGAAAAAUCUACAUUAAAAAAACUGAGCAUAUCCCUGCACCAUAAGCCUAGCUUUGUGUUUGUUCACUGAACCAUAUGCAUUUAGCUUAAUUCUGUAAAUUCAUUUAACAUCAAUAACCUUUCUGUCUAGAGGCCUUUCUACCACCUUCUAUGUGUCAUUUUUUUCGAUCAUGAUUAGCUCCUCCUGCAUUGCAACUUUUUAUUUCUUGUCUCUUUUAGAUUUACAUAUUCAGCAGGUUCAAAUACAGCUACAUUACAUCUUUGAUAGAUAUCUGAAAGUGAUCUGGUUCCUCGAACUAGAGGAUGAUCAACUCAUUCCUCAAAAUUGUGAAACUCAGUAGCUUCUCUUUCUUGUUUUUCUUCAUCCUAAUCUCAUGUUUUUGUUCUACAAAUUCCACAUCUCUACUUACAAAAAAAAAUUCAAUCUGUGGUUGGAAAAUUUUAUAAGCUUUUGACUGCAAACUAUAGCCAAUGAGAAUUCUAGGUUCUACCUUCUUGUCCAGUUUAUCCCUUUUUAGCUGAAGUAUGUGAGAAAAAUAUAGACAAUAAAAAAUCUUGAGAUUCUUUAGUAAAAGUUUAUACCCAUACCAAGCUUCAAAAGGUGUUUAACCAUUCAUUGCUUUUGUAGGCAGUCUAUUCAACAAAAACACAUCAGUAUUGGCUGCCUCUGCCCAAAACUUUUUGGGAAGCUCUUUCUCGUGCAACAUAUAUCUUGACAUCUCCAUGAUAGUCCUAUUCUUCUCUUCACUUACCCUAUUUUGCUGGGGAGUAUAUGGAGUAGUAAGUUGAUGCUCUAUUUCAACAACUUCACAAAAAAAUUGAACUGAUCUGAAGUGUACUCAGUCCCAUAAUCUGAUCUGAGCACUUGUAAUUUGCAGUCUCUUUGAUUUCCCAUCGAGGCUUUGAGUUUUCAAAAAACUUCAUAUUCCUCCUAUUUGAAUCUUAAGAAGUAUAUCCAACACAUCCUUGUUAGAUCAUCAAUAAAAAUUAUGCAUACUUGCUUCCUUUCAAUGAUGGAGUUUUUUAGGGGGUUCCAAGAUCUGUAUGAAUCAACUGUAAUUUUUGAGUCGCUCUCCAAGUUGAUUUUGAGAAUGUCAACCUUGUCUCUAACCAAAUUGACAUACCUCACAACUUGGGAGUUCCUCUUCACAUAGAGGUGUCCAACACUUAACAAAUUCUGGUCAAGUUCAGAAACAAACAAAACUUCACAAAUAAGUUUUGUAACUAUAUAACUCUCAAUAGCUACAGUCUCCUUUCCUUUUGCAAAGAGAUGAUCUCAGCAUGCCUAAGUUUUUGAAUUACUGCUGAUUUGCAAACUAUACCCGAUGCUCUUUGCCUGUGUUCAUUUAAAUGCUUGAUGUGGCAAUAAAAUAUAUCCAGAUCAAAUAAAGUUACUAGCUUCUAUAUUAGACGGCUUGGCGUUUGUUAAGGUGAUUAUAAAUGGUAAUGUAGUGUUCCACAUUAUUUGGUCCCUAUACAAAAUAUAGGUAUUUCAUAUUACUUAUUUAAUUUAAAAGAUUAAGAGAGUUUUAUUAUAUUUUUCUCU